rnacentral:rRNA from 1 species
CGGCGGACGGGUGAGUAACACGUGGAUAACCUACCUAUAAGACUGGGAUAACUUCGGGAAACCGGAGCUAAUACCGGAUAAUAUAUUGAACCGCAUGGUUCAAUAGUUAAAGACGGUUUUGCUGUCACUUAUAGAUGGAUCCGCGCUGCAUUAGCUAGUUGGUAAGGUAACGGCUUACCAAGGCAACGAUGCGUAGCCGACCUUAGAGGGUGAUCGGCCACACUGGAACUGAGACACGGUCCAGACUCCUACGGGAGGCAGCAGCC